rnacentral:rRNA from 1 species
UACGGAGGGUGCGAGCGUUGUCCGGAAUCACUGGGCGUAAAGGGCGCGUAGGCGGCCUGAUAAGUAGGGGGUGAAAUCCUGCGGCUUAACCGCAGGGCUGCCUUCUAAACUGUCAGGCUAGAGCACAGUAGAGGCAGGUGGAAUUCCCGGUGUAGCGGUGGAAUGCGUAGAGAUCGGGAAGAACAUCAGUGGCGAAGGCGGCCUGCUGGGCUGUUACUGACGCUGAGGCGCGACAGCGUGGGGAGCAAACAGG